CCUACGGGAGGCUGCAGUGGGGAAUAUUGCACAAUGGGGGAAACCCUGAUGCAGCGACGCCGCGUGAGUGAAGAAGUAUUUCGGUAUGUAAAGCUCUGUCAGCAGGGAAGAAAAUGACGGUACCUGACCAACAGUCCCCGGCUAACUACGUCCCAGCAGCCGCGGUAAUACGUAGGGGGCAAGCGUUAUCCGGAUUUACUGGGUGUAAAGGGAGCGUAGACGGCAGGGCAAGUCUGGGGUGAAAGGCGGGGGCUCAACCCCGGGACUGCUCUGGAAACUGGCAGGCUGGAGUGCAGGAGAGGUAAGUGGAAUUCCUAGUGUAGCGGUGAAAUGCGUAGAUAUUAGGAGGAACACCAGUGGCGAAGGCGACUUACUGGAAUGUAACUGACGUUGAGGCUCGAAAGCGUGGGGAGCAAACAGGAUUAGAUACCCUGGUAGUC
rnacentral:rRNA from 1 species